rnacentral:ncRNA from 1 species
AUGAUAGGGGCGUGCUCUGCUGACGUCGUCAGCAACAUGCCCAUGCAGCUCGGAUCUGAGAGGCUGCGACACGUUGCUCGUGUUGGUCCACCCAAGGUCGCAUAGCUUCUGGUAGCGCGACCGGUCGAUUCUGAUCGAUAGAGGC